CCGAGGGGGUCCGGGAAGGGGUCUGGGUCCCGUAGAGCCAGGCCUCGAUUGGAGGUCUGAGGCUGGAGAGCAGGAACACCAACGCUCCCUGACCCCCACAGUUUCCACUCACCGCGAAGAGCUGCCUAAUUGGGCUGCGAGCAGCUGCGAAAUUUGUAAUCGCCUAAUAAGCCUUCCACCUCGGUAAUUCUUAUCAAAAGGCAUAAAACUGAUAUUUUCACACUCGGCUUGCACCACAGGAGCCGUUUAUAAACAUCCUUCAUCAGUGGGACGAAAUUAAGCCCGCAUUGACAGAGGUCUCUGGAACUCGAUAUUUAAAAGCAAUAGAUCCGAAUUAGCAAAUUAUUACUUUAAGUAGGGAAAGUCCCCACCAACUUGACUAUUGAGCCCUUUGCCUCUGAGCUCCUCGCAGUGUGUAACCACAUGUUUGAGGGAACUUAACCUGGAGUUUCCGCGGCACUCCGGCAAUCUCCGAAAUCUUGCUUCGGCUCGGGCUCCCAGCCCUCCCACCCGCCUUCGAGGACGCGCGCAGGUCAGACGGGUGGAGGCCUGGGCGAGGCACAGCUGGGGCCUGGACGAAAGCUUGAGCAAACGAGACGCGUGCAGGACUCCCGCGCCCGCAGGCGCAGGGCCAGCAGCAGCCCUCGGGGCCCCGCGCUUUCCCGGGCCGACGCCCCUCGCUGACCGCCCGCAGCACGCGCGCCGGGCCUGCCGGCCAACUGUCGGCGGGUGGAGGUGCGGGAGACCUCCGCGCUCCGCGCCGGCGAGUAGGCGCGGCUCUGGCUGAUUCUCGUGGCGACCUCUUUACCCGUGAAAGUGAAGCUCAGCCCAGAGCGCUCUGAAACUGCGCGGGUCACUCUGGGCUCUCGGGUAGGAGAGGGUGUCCUUCGACUUUUGCCCACGCCGUCUAACCAUUAUUAAUACUGCUCUGGAAAGGGACUGAAGGAGAUAGCUUCCAGCGGUUUUUCCCACAAACUUGAGCAACUCAGAAGCCGCGUCACCCCUCAGAGACGGCGGAGCGGGAAACUCGCUCACCUUGGGACUUUACCGGUCCCAGGCUCCUUCUUUGACCUUGUCACCCACUUUCCGAGGGAAAGGGAGGGGUGCCUUUAUUCACGCCAGUGGAGGCCGUCCAAAGGUGGCGAGGGCCUCGGUCUUGAACACCCUGGUCUCUCCCUCCCUGCAGGCCGAGGCCGAGGCUCGCGGGGCUCCCGGCGAGGCCAGCGUGCUCGGGCGGGCGCGGGAGAGCCGGUUGGGCACCGGGGCGCGUCCCCGGCCUUGGGGAUUCGGUCUCGCGGCCUCUGUUUUGCUGACGGCAGUCGGGUGCUCCCGCUGGGGCCAGUUGUCUCCAGCGGUGCUAGAACAACAAUUGAAAACCGAGUUCUGCGCCCGAAAGAGUUGUACAUGUGGAUGCGGCGUUUUUUCAGUCGGCGCGCUCGUACCCCAGAGCGCGAAUGAACUGGCCCGGGCGGCUCAGAAGGAGAGGGGAAGCUUUUCUCGCCUGAAUCCCAUGACUAAUCAUCAGGAAGUGAUCAAAACCUGGAUAGAACAAAUGACCACCGCUCUCUGUACCUCCUUCAAUUCAAAGGCGGGGGCUUACUUCUGGAACUUUGCUUUCGGCUUCGACCAUAGUUCGGGUCGCUACGUGGAGUCUUCGGAGACCGCAGUGCCCGGCUCAGGCUGCGCAAAGAUCAUCUCACCUCACUAUCACCACUCGGGAGAAGUCCUUAGAAAUAGUUUUACCGACAGAAACAAGUGAAUAAAGCCGCCCCCAACAGAUCAUUCCUCAGCUCUAGGCUUCUAGCAUCUUGGAGACGGGAACCAUGUGCCUGGCACCCGACAAUAAAGGAUGGCUUUUUGAAUGAAAGAAAGAAUGUACUGGCAGGUAUAGAGGGUUUCGUGUCUUUCUCUGUAUUCUUAAUUCUAGCUUUCUACUUCUUCACAUUGGCACUUUCUUGCCCAGGAGCUGAAUCUUUGAAUCCCUAGAAGACCGAGGCAAGGAAAGGCACGGAGAUUCUGACAACUUGAGGGAAUUGAGGGAAUUCCCGGGCUCCACUUUCCUGCUAGUGCCAGGGACUUGUAACCUCCCAUGGAUCAUCAGGCACAGUGGUUCAUUUCCGCCCCUCUGGAGAGUCUUUCAGACCUGUGUUUGCAAUUAAAUUGGAAACCUACUCUGGGUGCCUAAGAGACCAUCGGGUCUGAGCCUCAGUUGUGGAGGAGGUGGCUACUGGAUCGGGAAUCGGAGUAGGAACGUGUUGGACCUCAGAAGCCUGGGAAAGCCUCUAUUACCCAUUCUGACUGCACACAUGGAAAUGCUGUGUGUGUUGGCCGGCACAAAAGCUGAUAUAAGUUUUGGCUUGCCCCGUGGCAAGAAUGGGGCCUAGGGUGGAGAGUCAGGAUGGGAACCGCCAAGACUCGGAGCCACAUGCUGGUGUUCUCAGGCCUCCCUGGCCUGGAAUGGAGAUGCAGCCCUGUUUGCAUACUGCAAAACGGCAAAAGACCACGGAAGAGACGCGGGGUGGUAGAUGGAGUCUUGAACAGGACAGAUCCCUGCUCUGCGCCAGGUCAUAAUCCUAUGUCCUGGAUGCCUCGGUGGCUCGGCCCAGUCUCUAAUCAUCCCGGCCGGUCGGGAGUAGGAACAGUAGCCGUGGGACUCAGGGACUAAGGCCCCAGAGUCCUGGAAAAGGGCUGGAAGAGGUCUCUUGACCUUGGAUGGUUGCACCAGCCCCCAUGGUGUUGAAUUUACCCUGACACCAAGGGGGAAAGCACUAGAGCUUUAUUAUGAAGACUCUGAUCUCUAGGCAGAUGCACCAAGAAAGUUUGCAAACUCAGCCACUGUUGCUGCAGGCAUCAAACGUGGCAAAAAUCGUUUUAAAAAGUGUCGAAUCCCCCUCAUUUCCUUUGCAUAGCUGCCCCUGGAGGGACUCAGAGGGGCGAUUUUUAAAAGGGUGCCUUCAGGUUGCACCACCUUUCAGGUAUAACGCCUUGACCCGGCUCAGUGCUUUAUAGUUUGCGUUUAUUAUUGCUUUUGAGUUUCAAAAUCAACAGAAACAAUAGGCAGCAGUUUCUUGUGAAGCUUUGAAUACAUACAAUGUUUUUUUCAAGACUACUUCCUCCUCCUCCUUUCAAAAUACUUUUGCCUUGCUUCAAUAAUUUAUUCUAGGGGUAUAGUGGGAAAAGCCUCUCGCAUUAAAAACUAUCUGGGUCAGUCCAUGUAAAUGUGCUUUUUAAAGGUCAGGGUGGAAAACAAUAGGCAGUUAGUAAACUAAGCCAUAAUUCCUAAAAAACCUUUCUAUUUUUAGAAGUGUAUACGUACAUAUGUAGCUAUCCUUUUAUAAGAAACACCAUUUAUUGUUUAGCAUCCCCCACAGUUCACAUAUGUUGUCACGGUAUAUUCCUCACAAUCAUCUAUGAGGUAGCUAUCAUUAUGCCCAAUUCACAGAUGGGGAACCUACAGCUCAGAGAGGAGGCCCAAGUUCUUAGGGCGAAUUAGCGACAGUCUAGAUGCAAACCCAUUCCAAGGUCUUAACCAUUGUGCUAGAUAUAUAGGAUAUACUGUGAACUGUGCAGGAGGAUCUGAAGCCAAGUGCCCCCUCCUGCUGGUUGGACAUGAAGCUCCUCCCUUUUUCCUGGAGUCCCAGAAGCCUGGAUUCCCUUGGGAGUUGGAGGGGGCAGGGGGAGCAGGGGUAGCCUGGAAGCUUGAGGGACCUGAUCGCGCCGGUGGUCAGUUGUGUAGGGCUUAGGCGCACGUGGGGAGCCCACGGGGAGGCCGGGCUAGAGGGAUUAGGAAACUGUCGGGGGAGGGGGGUGUAGAUCGCGUGCUGGGCGCACACUUUCUCAGCGCUGGCUGCUC
rnacentral:lncRNA from 1 species